AUCAUAGCCUAAGGAAAAAUCACCCCCGUUUUUUACCAGCUGGUUUUUGAUCCUGAAGAAAUUGAAUCUGCUACCAGCAUCCUGGGUCCUGGGGCUGGGCCUGGGGUGAUGAACCAUCUGGGUCAGAGACCAGAGUUGCUGCGGCUAGGAUCAGCUGGGCCAGACUUGAGUUCUGUGAGGGUAAAAGCUAUACCUUCCUACUUCUUUUGAAUUCCUUCACAGAAUGAGUCUUCCAAACACCCAGCUAGCUCUGGAAAUGUGUACAUCAACCUCAUUAGAUAUGUGGACAUCCCUGGAAAGUAUAUGCCAAGCUUUAAAAGGAGGAAAUGCAAAUGGAAUAGAAGGGCAGAAGAUAAGGACUGUAGAAGAAUGAAUUGAAUGAAGUGGAUAGGAUUGCUAGUAAACAGAGAUAAAGAAAGGAAAAGGUGACAUGGCAUUGCACCAUCAUAUUCUACAUUAUAUUGUAUAUAUUUCUAUUUCCUGUUAUUAUAAAUUCUGUGAAAUUAUAUUGUUUUUGUCUUAAUAAAAUUUUAUUGAAUUGAAAUAAAUCUUUUAAC
rnacentral:lncRNA from 1 species